GAAGUCAUAUGAAGCUUGGCUCGCCUCAAGUCGUCGUUCAGGUUAAAUCAAGCCGAGCUAGAUUGAGCCAAGACGAGAGAGCUUUUCGAACUUGCUUGGCUCGUGUACAACCCUAACUAACAGAAAGUUGCAUAAAAGAGUCAACAAGAGCAUUAUAAAACAAUUUGCAAGACAUUAUCUGCUAGAAAGUAGCUUUCUUCCACGUACGGUCGGUAAUGCUUUAACAAUAAAAAAAAGGUCACGAGUCAAAUGGCUUGUUAAUCAUGAGACAAGAACAAGCCACGAUGGACUUAACCGGCCCCAUUCAUACCCAUAAGAUGACAUCCCUUAUAAUUAUGGUUUCUUCCAUAUUGUUUUCUCAAUGGGAGCCAUGUACUUUGUAAUGUUAUUCAUCAUCUGGAACUUAGACCAUUCAACCAGGAAGUAAGAAAUCAGGAUUUUAAAUGCAUGCCAUUUUCUUAUGAUCUUUGGGCCUUCAAACCUUAUACAAUGGUGUUGCAUCUCAUGUAUGUUGGUAUAGGAAUUUAUUUAAAAUUGAGCUUGGACAUUAGGAACAUUGUGUGAUCUAGGUUGUAUGAAUGAAACUAUAAUAGUUAUCACUGCAUCUGGUUUAUCUACUUAAUGUUAACCAUCGUUUUCCGUUGCAAAUUUACAAUCGGGAUCUGCUCCUAUUUCUCUACUUUCUAGUUUCAGCUAUGACUUUGUUCAAGAUUCACCAUGCAGCAGACACGUGAAUCAAAUUAAACCAUUCAAGCUGUGAACCAUAAUUUAGAUGGACCAUAGACCGAAAGUUAUAUGGAAUUGAUUAUGUAAAUAGCUAAUUGGUAGAUAUUUAUUGGAUGGUUCAAAUGAAAUAAUUUAGACGGACCAUAGACUACAAAUUUUUUUUAGCAUGUGAACAUUUAGGUUGGCGCAAUUAUAUCUUCUUUUAUAUACUUUUUUUUUUUGUUACUUUUUGGAUUUCAGCGCUGUGGAUCCUCUAAUGGCGGAUUCUAACAACACGAUUGCGAGUGGAAGACAAACACCACCAAAUGGGAAUCAGUUAUGCAAAGCUGGCAAAUCUGCCUCCAAUUAUAGGACUCUAUUCAAGUUUUGUCCCACCAUAUGAGCCAGGGGUUUUUUCAAGCCGGGCCACUCCAUCCAUAGCACAGAGUGAGUGAUUUUCUAUUGUUUAUAUCUUUUGGGUGUUAUAAUAUCUUUUGAUUCUGCCCUCUUCUGCUUUCGGGCAUGUUUGGAUGUGCUAUGGAAUUGGAUUUCAACUUUAGUUUGAUAAAUCGAGAUAACCAAAUUAGAGUUUCUAUUGUCAGAAUUCAUGUUGAGGAUCUGGGUAUGUGACUUUGAAAUGGAACCUUGAGUAGGGAAAAUCCUUGCAUUUGGAAACCCGAAAAAUGUAAGCAAUGGAUUCCAGUUGUAAGCUAAUUCUGCCAGAACACCAGCUUUUGAAUUGGUGGACAAAGGGUAGCUUGCAAAUUCAAGGGAAUGAAUUCCCUUCCAACAAUGAUGUUUUUUUAAUUGUUUCAUAAAAAGACCUUUCCAAGUGAAUGAAUUCUAAGUGCCCAAUCAUGGUUUCUAGAUUCCACAUAAUUUCAUUCUCAGAUGUCAAACAUCACUGAUAGAAUCAGUUCUUGAGGAAUUUGUUUCGUGGAAAUAAAUUAUUUAGUAACUUCUAAAUUCCAAGUUGCCAAAUAACUCUUAACUUGAAUUUGGGAAACACUUCACUAUAUAUAAAUUUACUAGGAAGCAUCAUGUAAUUCCAAGUUGCCACUUCCUCUUUGGUUCAACUAAAUGUUUGAAAUUCUAUUCACUUGUGUAUCAAACUUAAACUUGUUGUGUGAGCUAGUCAGAACUCAAUAUGAUAUGUGUUUUCAUGCUCGCUACAUGAGGACAGUAAGCUAAGGUUUCAAGUGCAUUACAAUGUUUUAGCCUUAAAAAGGGCAUAGAAUUAUGAGAUGUUGUAUGAAUUUCACAAAAUUGUUUAACAUGUAUUAGUAAUCCAUCAAAUGGGCCUAUCGUAUUUCUAAGUUGACACAUUGUAAUUUUGAUUUUCUUGGGUAAUUCUGGGAUCGCCCUCUUGAUGUCCCCUUCUUCUUAUAUGUUUUUAUCUUUUAAUAAAAUCUUCGUCGUCUCUCAAAAAUAAAAAAUAAAAAUCCAUCAAUCCUAUUUUUCAGGCUCAACUCUGUGAAUCCAUUCUCUUGUUGGAUUCCAAUAGUUGUACCCACAUGUCUGCACCAUAACCUAGAAAAUGAAUUCAAGGCCUCCCAUCAUUUGUUUUUCCAUCAGUAAAAAACUACAUAUUUACAAUAAGCAGAAAUAAAAUAAAUGAAUCUUCCAAAAGGCCAAAGGGGCAAGGUCCAAGGCUGAAAUAACAUAUACUGUGGCUUUUCUCCAAAUACACCUGACAUGACGACUUUCCCAAUCAUGUGUUACAAAGGCAGAUCAGUGAAUAAAUAUAAAGCAAAGGUUGGACAUAGAAUUGAUAUUAACUGAAUGCAAUAUUAUCAUAUCAGCUUUGUUCUCUUCAGAUGAAUCGAUUUUCAUUUGUGUUUUAUCAUUUGGUUGAAAUUUGAGUUGAAUUUGUAGUGCUUUUUGUCUUUGUUCUCCUAAUACUUUUCCCUACAUGCCUCUGUUUAUAUACAUUUCACUUAUUUAUGCAUUUGGUUGAUUUUUAUUUUUUUUUGAAAUUGUGAAUUGGGUUUUCAGAGAUUUUUCUCUUAAUUCAGCUUUGUUCUCUUCAGAAGCAUCGAUUAACAUUUAAAUUUUUUAUUGAUUGGGGUGGAGUUGAUAUUUGAAUUGAAUUUGUAGUGAAAUGGCAUUUCCUAACAUGGUUUUUGUUUUCCUAAUACUUUCCCCUACCUUUCUCUGUUUAUGUAAAUCUCACUUUUUUAUAGAUUUGGUUAAUUUUUUGUUGAAAUUGUGAAUUUGGUCGUCACCAAUUUUUGCUCUCAAUAAAGUUUUGUUCUUGCCAGGUGAAAUGCUUUUGGCUUGUUCGGGUGCCACUUUAAAAUGAGUUCAUCCCAUUUUUGUUAAUUGUAACUCUGUUUUAAAGAUCAUAUUUAUUUAAAAAUAAUAUUGAUAACUAACAAUCAUGAUCUCUAAGAUGUAAUUGCAAUGAACUAAUAGGGUAUACGCUCAUUUUUAAGUGGCACUCAAACAAGCCGUUAGCAUUUGAAUUUGUCUGAGUAUGCAUGUAAUCUGGUUGAGAUUUGGACCUCCUUGUAUAUAAUGUUUCACAGGUGGCUUCGACCCAUCACUUGGAGUUGCCGUUUCAUUUAAAAAUGAUCAAAUUCCUUGGUCUUAUUUGGGCUGUUACAAGUUGAUUGUUGUUCAAUUUCCUUUACGAAGGAAAAUCAACUAUCAGAACAAUUUGUUAUUAUUACUGAAUUUUAGUGAUGUUUUUGAACAGAUUUCUACACUGAAGUUUAUGUUCUUUAAAUAAUGAUAUGAUGGCAUUUGGUUGAUGGGUGGCCUGGUGCAUCGCAUCACAUGGCUUUGCUAUUUCGUUAAAAAAUUAGCAAAUCCAUGUCUUGUUUGACUUCUUGGCAUGUUUGUUCUCUUCAACUUGCAUAUGGAGACUUUGAUAGUUAUCGUUGUAGAUGGGUACCAACGUUGCUUGGUUGAAAUGAUGUAUGGACGAGGAGGCUGGAGAUAGGUAGGUAUAUUGGCCAAUCUAGGAGUGGACCACAUAGAGGAUUUUUUAAAAUGUAUUUAGACAAUUUUCAAUUUAUUGUUGUAAAUAUUAUAUAUCUUUUAUUGUAAAUUCGUAUAAUAUUAGUUUAAUAUUCAUUUUUAAUUGUACUGCAACAUUAUUUGGGUUUCAAAUAUUUAAAAAAUACAGUUUCAAUCAGGAAAAAAAAUUAUUGGAUUUUGCUAGUGGUCAUAUGGCUUUUACCAGUGCUUCCUAAACAA